CCAGCGUUCUGCCUCCCCUGACUUCACAACACACCCAUCUCCUUGAUCCCCAUCACCGGCCUCCGAGCCCCACCUCCUCUCUCGGGCGUGUCUCGUACCUCUCGCGGUAGCAGGAGGAAGGAGCAACGGCAGAGGGGCGUCGAAACUGGUGCCCAUUCUGGGCAGAGGCGACGUACACGUGCGUCAUUGUGAUAAGGAUUGCACUCAUAUUGUUCGAGACAAUAUCAAUCAGAAUAACAAGGGAAUUUUGACGUUGGGGAAGAUGAAGUAGAGCAGGGACCUCACGCUCAAGAAGCGGUGAGGUGCCUGACCUACUUCAUCUUCACCAACGAAGAGAACGGCAAAUGCAACAUUGACGGCUGCUUGCGCAGCAGAAAACUAUCAAGGAGCUCAAGGAGACCACAAUAAAAAAGAAUACAUAGAAGGAUGUGUUCGUAUAAUUAUGUCAUUUUAAGCUUAUUUGGCAUAUGGAGUGUAGAUGUGUUUACAACUUUA